GGGAACCUCACCAGGCCCGUACACCGGAAGGAUUGAUAGAUUGAGAGUGGUGGUGCAUGGCCGUUCUUAGUUGGUGGAGCGAUUUGUCUGGUUAAUUCCGUUAACGAACGAGACCCCAGCCUGCUAAAUAAUCACGCUAAUGACUUUUCAUUGGCGAUUGGUUUCUUAGAGGGACAUGUAGUAUAAAACUACAGGAAGAUUGGGGCAAUAA
rnacentral:rRNA from 1 species